GGUUUCAGCGCAAACGGCUCCUUGCGCCUCUGGCUUUUGCAGUGGGAGUUUUACCCUGCCUGCAGUCUCAGCUAGAACCAACUGAAUGUCACCUGGUGCCUGACGCUCUCCAGGGCAGGGCAGUCGUACACUGGCACUGCCCCUGCUGUAGCUGAUCAGUGAGAAGGGGAUGUUAGGCUGCAGCAGAAUCCGGCCUCGUUCACCAGCUCCUCCCCUCCCUGCAAUGAGUCACACAGUGCAGACAGCAUCUGUCCUCUCAUUUUAUUAUCUUUCUAAACGGAUAAACAACAGGCACCAUUUCUGAGCUUAAAAUCCAUCCUGCUCCUUACAGAAUAAGUGAUCCCACCCACUGCAUGCCUCUGCUGGUGCACCCUGGUUUGUUUUCCGUAGGGUCUCCCAGGAGGGAUGGGCUGUGCAGGCUGGUUUGUUUUCCGUAGGGUCUCCCAGGAGGGAGGGGCUCUGCAGGCUGGUUUGUUCUGGUAGGACCGCCGCAGGCA